rnacentral:rRNA from 1 species
UACGUAGGGUGCAAGCGUUGUCCGGAAUUAUUGGGCGUAAAGAGCUCGUAGGCGGUCUGUCGCGUCGGCUGUGAAAACUCGGGGCUCAACCCCGAGCCUGCAGUCGAUACGGGCAGACUAGAGUGCUGUAGGGGAGACUGGAAUUCCUGGUGUAGCGGUGAAAUGCGCAGAUAUCAAGCGGAACACCAGUGGCGAAGGCGAGUCCCUGGACAACACCUGACACUGAGGCACGAAAGCUAGGGGAGCAAACAGG